rnacentral:RNase_P_RNA from 1 species
GCAGUCGGACGGUCUGUCGCUGGAGAUCGCAAGAGCCGUGGUGAAAAUCUCGGUUUACUACGUUCUCGGGAGGAAAGUCCGGGCAGCACAGAGCAUUCCACUUCCUAAAGUAGAAGGAGUCCGCGAGGGCUGAGUAAUGCAGAAGAAAACAACAGCUGAUGGCGCCUGCGUUGUCAGUGAUGGUGAGAAGGCGGGGUAAGAGCCCACCAGCAGUGUGGUGACACAUCUGGCUGUGCAUCUUGGAAGCUGCAAGUUCAUGUAAACUGGCGCCUGAGGGCUGCUCGUCCGAGCCAGAGGGUAGAACGCUAGAGCUGGAUGGUGACAUCCAGCGUAGAUAAAUGACAGACGCUAUGCAAAUAGCACAGAACCCGGCUUACAGGCCGACUGCUUAU